rnacentral:rRNA from 1 species
GACGAACGCUGGCGGCGUGCCUAAUACAUGCAAGUCGAACGCAGUGGGGACGGGUGAGUAACACGUGGGUAACCUCGCAUCAGAGGGGAUAACACUUGGCAACAGGUGCUAAACCGAUACUGAUGUAUGGACUCGCGGUGCAUUAGCUAGUUGGUGGGGUAACGGCCCACCAAGGCCACGAUGCAUAGCCGACCUGAGAGGGUGUUCGGCAACACUGGGACUGAGACACGGCCCAGACUCCUACGGGAGGCAGCAGUGGGGAAUCUUCGGCAAUGGGCGAAAGCCUGACGGAGCAACGCCGCGGGAAUGAAGAAGGUUUUCGGAUCGUAAAACUCUGUUGGUAGAGAAGCGGUAUCUACCCAGAAAGCCACGGCUAACUACGUGCCAGCAGCCGCGGUAAUAC